AUAUCUCAAAUUAAUAUGUAGAAUGGUUCCUCUUUCAUAAAAGAGCCAUAAACCAUUACACUACAUAAUAUUUAACUACCAUGUUGGGUCACAACACUGGAUGUGUAACAACGUUGUAAGUGUUCUUCUAAAUAAACCAAGUUUGAAAACAUUAAGUCAUGGACAAGCAGACGUUGCAUGUUGGGCUGGAAGAACUUAAAGUGCAGCUCGUCAUUCAAAUCAUGAAAAUGUCACAUGAUGAGAUGUUUGUAGGUUUUAGAAUAGUAAACCUGUCAGGACAGCUUCUACCAGGACCAGAAGCUUUCAGAAGAGCGCCGACGGUCUGAAGCAGAGCCUGUUUGGAGCCGACACCAGCAAAACGGGUCAAAUUGCUCCCGCGGGUAAAAGCAGCUUCGUUCGGCGCCUCAGACUUUCACUGAAAGUGACAGAACCCAGUCAGGAGAUCGUCUGAGUCUGAGAUGUUGACAACAACUCGUCACACAGAAGAAAACACACACAUGCAAAUCUGUUCUUUACAGUUACAGUUAAAAAUGCUUUUUGAUGUAAACAGAAGGGGCUUUGCAGUUUUAGCAUUUGAAACACAACAAAUUGUAUUUCCAACUGAAACGACGUUCGGGGCAGUCUCUGUACAAUAGCAUGCUCUGAGAGACAGAUGCCUUAUUGGCUGCUGGCACUGUCAGCACUGUUCCCUCUAACACACUUAUGAUGUACUACUGGCAAAUUUGAGCAAUAUUCUAGCUGUCUGGCACAGACGAACAUGUUCUGCCCAGGAGAGGCCAUUGUACCAGUCGUCUCCUCCUGCUGCGCUGCAGAUAAUUACAUCCAGCCAGGCCAGCCGCAAAAUUAAACUGUACCGUGAAGAACGCUGGCCCUCUCUACGGUGAUGUAUGAGGCAGUGGAGUCUCUCUGGCUUUGAUUUCAGAGGCAUUCACAGGGAAUAGGUGAAACUACAGAUAUAUUGUAUGGAGGUUUUUUAGUUUGGCUUGUGCUAGAAAUGAAAUCUAUUGAGCUUAUCUGAAUGGAAAACAGAACACAGCCAGAUGUUUUUAUUGUUUUAUUUAUUUAAUCACUCUGAAUAUUGACUUGUCUUCAGUCAAAUGUAGAACUACUCUAAAAGCACAUCCUCAACUAUAUUACAUUGUGAAACUGUUUACUAAACACCACUACAUUCAUUCCAGGCACUUAUGCUGCCCUUUACAGCACUCUAAUCACAAAUGUUUGGAGCUUACCAUAAUUUCCAGACUAUAGAGUGCACCACAAUAUAAGCCGCACCUACAAGGUUUAAAAAAACACAUGGAACUGUACUUAUACAAGCCGCACCGGGCUAAAAGCUGCAGAUAUCUACUGAAUUGAAAACGUAGUUUAACUGAACGUAACUGAACUGAUCAGUAUCAAACAAAACAGAAAAGUUAUUGAUUAGUUUAUUCAUCGUCCUCCUGCGCACUAAAGCCAUUAAAAUCCUCUUCUUCAGUGUCAAAGUUGAACAGCCUCCGAAGAGCUUCGCAGUGUUGGGAACGUUACUUUAAAAAAGUAAUUAGUUAUAGUUACUGAUUACUUUGUCAAAAAAGUAACUCAGUUACUAACUGAGUUACAAGAUUAUAAAAGUAACUAAUUACCACGAAAAAUAACUACUUAGUUACUUUUUUCAUUAAAGCAUGCAAGAAUUACUGCAAUAGUGAAAAAUAAAUGUCUAAUUACUGGAACAUAAUAAAAUGUAUGUCCAAAUGUUUUUUAUAAACAUGAAUAAUUUAAAUAAAUAAGCACUUAAAGGCACAGUCCGCAGGAUGACGCCGUCAGGGUGAGGAGGAGAUUUUUAAAUUCGAACGGCUGUUGCUCACUCCCCCGCCCUUCCUGAAAGAGCCGAAAGCCACACCUCCCAAUGUGCACGCGCAGGAAAAGCAGAGUCAACAUCGGAGCAUUGCUUCUUGUAAUAGAGCUGAGCUAGUGUUAGCAAUGGAGUUAUCUGAGAGUUCAGUGAUUGAGGAAUCCUCUGAGGAAGAGUUUGAACCUCCUAUUGCAUCCUCAAGACGUGGUGCAAAAAGGAUGCCCACCAUCAUCUCAAAGCCGUGGUGCAUCCAGAGGCUGCGGUGCAUCCAGAGGCCGAAGAAGUGUGAGACACUCAGCUGUGGACCUUGGAGAUGAUCUCUCUCGAGUUCGGAAUCUUUGUUCCGAGCGAAUAGACUUUGAACGUGUAAGCAUAACUGUUGCUGUAGCAUCUCUUUCCACUUUUGUAGCAACACAUACAGAACCUGAACCCUCAGCAGGCUAUUGACAUCCUUACCAUGGUGCUGGACAGACACUGGUGUUCUCUUUGAUGUACUUGCCCUCUCUGGUCCACCUGCCACAACACCUCCAACACCCAAUCAACCUUCAUGGUGUGUAUGCUCCCACUGCAGAGAUAUGCCAACUGAUUUGGAAAAGAAAUGCUGCCAACAGCCUCCCCAGACAUGUAUUUCAACUGUACCACACAUGGAGUUUAUUCUGCAAAAUUCCCUGACCCCAAUGGUAACUACACUGGUUUUAUUCCAAGACGAUUGUAAAUAAAUGUAUAUAUUUGAUAUUUUACAUAAGUUUGUUUUUAUAUAUUUUUGUUUGAUGCUCUAAUAAAGUGUUCUAAAGCACAA